GGCCGUCGUCAGUUCGUACUGUGAAGCAUCCUGUUAAGUCAGGCAACGAGCGAGACCCACGCCAACAGUUGCCAGCUCGUCUCCGGGAUGUGGGGACACUGUUGGGACCGCCUCUGCUAAAGAGGAGGAAGGAAUGGGCAACGGUAGGUCAGCAUGCCCCGAAUUAUCUGGGCUACACGCGGGCUACAAUGGGUGGGACAAUGGGUAUCGACACCGAAAGGUGAAGGCAAUCUCCUAAACCCAAUCCGUAGUUCGGAUUGUGGGCUGCAACUCGCCCACAUGAAGCUGGAAUCUGUAGUAAUCGUGUCUCAAAAUGGCACGGUGAAUAUGCCCUGCUCCUU
rnacentral:rRNA from 1 species